rnacentral:rRNA from 1 species
UACGAAGGGGGGCUAGCGUUGCUCGGAAUCACUGGGCGUAAAGCGCACGUAGGCGGAUUCGUAAGUCAGGGGUGAAAUCCCGGGGGCUCAACCUCGGAACUGCCUUUGAUACUGCGGGUCUUGAGUCCGAUAGAGGUGGGUGGAAUUCCUAGUGUAGAGGUGAAAUUCGUAGAUAUUAGGAAGAACACCGGUGGCGAAGGCGGCCCACUGGAUCGGUACUGACGCUGAGGUGCGAAAGCGUGGGGAGCAAACAGG